rnacentral:lncRNA from 1 species
GGGCUCAGCCGGUUGAGCGUCCAGCUUCGGCUCAGGUCACGAUCUCGCGGUCCGUGAGUUCGAGCCCCGCGUCGGGCUCUGUGCCCACAGCUCGGAGCCCGGAGCCUCCUUCGGGUUCUGUGUCUCCCUCUCUCUCUCUGCCCCUCCCCCGCUCGCGCUCUGUCUCUCGGUCUCUGUCUCUCUCAAAAAAUAAGUAAACAUUUUUAAAAAUAUUUAAAGAAGAGAAAAGAAACAGCAAGGAAGACUGGGGCCUCCUAGGGAGAGAGGCUGUGGUUGGAUUUGGUCUAAAGCAUGCUUAACUUGAAACCUUCUGCAGCAGGGAGCAGUGAGGCCAGUGGCUCCUGGAACCACUGAAAGGACAGGGACAGCCCGGGACAGGGCGGUGGCUCACUGGUCCCUUGAGGUGGCCCCCCACGUCUCAGGGCCCCUCCUGCCCCCUCCGCCCAGGCGGGCCCCUUCUGGGGGGCCGACCCUCACGAGCCCCCCUGCCCGGAGUCUGAGGGCGGCUGGGGCCAGGACGGUGGCGUCCUUUCUGCCGUGGCCGUCACCCUGAGCUCCGCGAGUGGCCUCUCUGGAUACUUAGAGCAGUGCAUCGGGUUUUCCUGAAGGCUCCGAGUGAGACCUUUCUGAGAACAGCUGCCGGGUUAACCCAAGUGGCCCCAGGACGGGACAGAGUGCCGCUGAGGGGGGAGGAAUGGGGCUUUGAUGGGGCGCCGUGCUUGGAGGUACAGCUGGGGUUUGUGUCUUAGCAGCGGGGCUCCCGCCAAGCACGCCAGCAGCGUCGGGACAUCCGGCCGUGCCCGCCAGCACCUUGCAAAAUGCGACAAAAUCCGGAGAGGAGGAGAGACCGAAGCAGAGUGCCUCCGGCGGGAGGGAUGCUCAGAGCCCGGAGCGGAGGGACGUUCGUCUCGGCCUUCGCCGUCCUCUGCGGAGCCCGCACCGACCUCCCGGACAGGCACGUGUGCUGCGUCUUCUGGCUGAACAUCGCGGCGGCCCUCAUCCAGACCCUCACGGCCAUCGUCAUGGUGGGCUGGAUCAUGAGCAUCUUCUGGGGCAUGGACAUGGUCAUCCUCGCCAGUGAGUAGCCCGCCAGCGCCCUGCUUUCUGGGGCGGGGGCCGGGAUUCGG